rnacentral:rRNA from 1 species
AUUGAACGCUGGCGGCAGGCCUAACACAUGCAAGUCGAACGAGUGGCGGACGGGUGAGUAAUGUCUGGGAAACUGCCCGAUGGAGGGGGAUAACUACUGGAAACGGUAGCUAAUACCGCAUACUAUUAGAUCUGCCCAUAUGGGAUUAGCUUGUUGGUGGGGUAACGGCUCACCAAGGCGACGAUCCCUAGCUGGUCUGAGAGGAAGACCAGCCACACUGGAACUGAGACACGGUCCAGACUCCUACGGGAGGCAGCAGUGGGGAAUAUUGCACAAUGGGGGAAAGCCUGAUGCAGCCAUGCCGCGUGUAUGAAGAAGGCCUGCGGGUUGUAAAGUACUUUCAGCGGGGAGGCGGUACCCGCAGAAGAAGCACCGGCUAACUCCGUGCCAGCAGCCGCGGUAAUAC